AAAGUUUAAAUUUAAAGCCAUGUUUGCUAUCGUAGGUUGUUCCUGUUGGUCAUUACGGACGGACUGCAUCAUUAUCGGGUUCUUUUUAUUAGUAACCAAUAUUGCAAUUACAGGAUAUCGUUUAGCAUCCAAAUCCAAAACUGACGGCAGCUUUGGUACAUUCGAUAUUCUUCAAAUAAUUCUUAUAAUUAUAGUUGUAAUAGUGCUAAUUGGUUUCCUAGCAUGCGUAUUUGCGGACUAUCGAAACCUCGCCCUUCUUUUGAUGAUUGUAUUUCUAGGAUUAACUUUAAUAUCGACGGUAAUCUAUUUUUGUAGUGCUACAUUAAAAUGGGACGUAAUUAUAGGGACUGUGGUUUUGUUCGUUAUCUAUUGUUAUUUUUUGUUCGUGGUAUAUUCAUAUGCAUAUGAAGAGGAAGAAUACGAAGCACAGUAACCAUGGACAUAUAUAAAAACAAGUAAAAAAGCUGAAGUCGGUGGACCGACUUUGAAAUUCUCUGUACAUAUGUUUAGAAUAUUUAUAGAAAUUAAAAAAGUAAGAGAAUUAAAAAAACAAAGAUUUGAUAGA